GAUGAACGCUGGCGGCGUGCCUAAUACAUGCAAGUCGAACGGGAGCCACUGAAUACGUUUGGUGGUGAGAGUGGCGGACGGGUGAGUAACACGUAGCUGACCUGCCCUUUGCUGGGGGAUAACCCGGGGAAACCCGGGCUAAUACCGCGUAAGCUCGCUAGUCUUAGAAGCUAGUGAGGAAAGUGUGUGGCAACGGCGAAGGAGGGGGCUGCGGGCCAUCAGCUGGUUGGUGAGGUAACGGCUCACCAAGGCGAAGACGGCUAGGGGACCUGAGAGGGUGACCCCCCACACUGGGACUGAGACACGGCCCAGACUCCUACGGGAGGCAGCAGUAAGGAAUAUUGCCCAAUGGACGCCAGUCUGAGGCAGCAACGCCGCGUGGAGGAUGACGGUCUUCGGAUUGUAAACUCCUUUUCUGUGUGAAGAGACAGGACGGUAGCACAGGAAGAAGUCUCGGCUAACUACGUGCCAGCAGCCGCGGUAAAACGUAGGAGGCGAGCGUUAUCCGGAGUUACUGGGCGUAAAGCGCGCGUAGGCGGUGAAGCAAGUGGUGCGUGAAAGCUCCCGGCUCAACUGGGAGAGGCCGUACCAAACUGUUUGACUAGAGAGAGACAGAGGUCGACGGAAUUCCGGGUGGAGUGGUGAAAUGCGUAGAGAUCCGGAGGAACACCAGUGGCGAAGGCGGUCGGCUAGGUCUCAUCUGACGCUGAGGUGCGAAAGCGUGGGUAGCGAACGGGAUUAGAAACCCCGGUAGU
rnacentral:rRNA from 1 species